rnacentral:lncRNA from 1 species
UAUAUAUCUACUAUAUAUUUUUAAAAGAUAAUAAACUCGAUUGCAUUGUCAGUUUAUGACAUGUCUCCUUUUCGAUCCAUACAUUAUACACUCUGUAAAUACUCUACAUUUGGCUUUGCUUUUAACUUAAAAAAAAAGUCGUAUGCCACAAAACUAGGGAUAUAUCUACAGUACAAGUUGAAAAGUCUGUUGUGUACGCGACUUGAUUGAGUUGUCCGAUAGAGGUAAAUACUCUACCAAUGUAAGUCCUAAAGAUGUAGUAACACUAAAUAACAUACUUACUGGUUGUCUUCAUGAAAAACCAUUUACUGGUAACAGUUCGCUAUGAAAUGAAAAGCUUAAAAUAUUAUAGAAAUGCUGUACAAUAAUGUUUGAUUUUAAUUUUGAUAAAUUCCAAUUUUAUUUUUAAACUUGAAAUCUUAAGCCUAUCUGUUCCGAUAAUCCUAAUAGUACUCGAAAAACAUUGUUGAGUAGUGGCACAUAUAAUUUUCUGAGUUCACAAAUUUCUGAAUAGUUUUUGCUUUGUUUUUAACAUUUUCUGAACUAUCAUUUUUUAUAAACUUGAAAUCGUAAACCGAUCUUUUUUGAGAUUCCUAGUUGUACUACCAAAACAGUGUUGCAUAAAGGCACACAUGUUUGCUGGUGUUCGAAACUUGCUGAAUAUAUUUUAAAAUGGACGUAAGAACUCUAAAUAUAUUAAGAUGCAUUCAUUAAAGGUUUUUUUAUGUUGUUUUUAAGUUUAAACCUUAAGCUGUAUGUGACCCAAUCGAUAUCUACAUUGUUGUUGAGCGCGUACACAGCACAGCAAUGGAUAAGGAACAAGCCCUCAGGCACAUCUUUGACCAAUCAAAAAAAGUGUUUUUUUAAAUCAAACAUAAACUCAUACGAGAGCUAAAGAGUAAAGAGAGAAACUAACUAAAGGAAUUUUAAUGUGGGCUAGUGCUUAGAUUUGACAACUAGAUAAAUUUCAUAUUCACAUACAUACUCGUAAAUUUAAAGGCGGACGGACAAGCAGACAAAAAUCAAAUCAAAUAUACUCGUAUAAAAUUGCAUUUUCAAUUGACUCCAGAAGCAGCUGCCAAAUUUUUUUUUUUAUAUAUUGAUCACCUAAUUCAAACGAAAAGACCAGGAAAAGAAAACGUAAUGGAAAUUAACAGAAUUGUAAUACAAUAACUAAAUAGAAAGCUUUAAAACAUAAGUUAGCAUUUGAUAUAUUUUGAUAAAAAAUAAAAAUCAAACAAAACAGAAACUAAAGAAUACAAGAAAUAAUAAAAUAGCCCCUAACGACUGAGGAUAGGAAGAAGAUAGCGGUAAAUAUUUAAAGAACGCUUUAAGAAAAACGAAAAAUUAUAAAAAACUAUUUAUGAAAGGAGCUAAGAUCAAUCAAUCAAUCAUUUGGAUUACAUAGGAGAUGUAUUGUAACAAUGAGAAAUUAUGGAUAAUGGCAUGGAAUGACGACACACUUUGCAUUAACAUAUUUUAUAAUGAAACAUUACACACAACACACUAAUUUAUGGCAUAUAAAUAAAAGGAAAC